rnacentral:rRNA from 1 species
CUCCUGGAAACGGGUGGUAAUGCCGGAUGCUCCAGAUGACCGCAUGGGAUUCUGGGAAAGCUUUUGCGGCAUGGGAUGGGGUCGCGUCCUAUCAGCUUGUUGGUGGGGUGAUGGCCCACCAAGGCUUCGACGGGUAGCCGGCCUGAGAGGGCGACCGGCCACAUUGGGACUGAGAUACGGCCCAGACUCCUACGGGAGGCAGCAGUGGGGAAUAUUGCGCAAUGGGCGAAAGCCUGACGCAGCGACGCCGCGUGCGGGAUGGAGGCCUUCGGGUUGUAAACCGCUUUUAUCGGGGAGCAAGCGAGAGUGAGUGUACCCGUUGAAUAAGCACCGGCUAACUACGUGCCAGCAGCCGCGGUAAUACGUAGGGUGCAAGCGUUAUCCGGAUUUAUUGGGCGUAAAGGGCUCGUAGGCGGUUCGUCGCGUCUGGUGUGAAAGUCCAUCGCUUAACGGUGGAUCUGCGCCGGGUACGGGCGGGCUGGAGUGCGGCAGGGGAGACUGGAAUUCCCGGUGUAACGGUGGAAUGUGUAGAUAUCGGGAAGAACACC